rnacentral:misc_RNA from 1 species
GCAGCCGACGUCCAAGAGAGACCUUUCCUCUCCUCCCAUCCUCUCCACCUGAAACCCUACAUUAGAUCGUAGAUCCAGCUGAUUCUUCUCUUUCGCCGGCCAGUUUUUUCACCAACGGUGAGAUCGUCUCCUGUAAAAUCCAUCGCUAGAGAACCACACAUUAGCUAUCUUUCAUCUAUCUCAAGAGACCCAAGUCCCAUUUCCUUUUCUCCCUUAAUCUCCGAUCAUUACAGAACCCAAACACCUCCUCAUCCAUUUUUCCGGCCACGGCAAGAUUAUUUGUUACGAAACCCAUUUCCGAAGUCCCAAUUUGGAUGCUGUUUAUUACUGCCCUGCUGCCGUAUCUCUUCCCUGACGCAUACAAAACCAUUUUAGCUUGUUUUUGCCGUCGUAAUCUCAGAUUGGUCACGAAAUCAGGUCACUGGUAAUUGUUAUCUGAUUCGUCACCAGCUUAGUCACUAUACUUUUGCUGUGCUUCCUCCUUACAACGGUAGCAGAGAAGCUCAAGCUUCUCUCCUCCUUGACGAAGCUGCAUUCUGCUGUUGCCAUCGCAAGAUCCACACCAGGUAUCAUUGCUGGCUUUCUUUCUGAUCGGACCUUAAGAAGCUUCUAUUCGGGUUUGUCGAUCCUCUGAGAUUGAUUAUAUCUCAUUUUGGACUGAUUUUGAAGACUGGAUUCAUGCAGUUUUUAAGACAGACUUGUGGCUAGUAGAGGGGUUGUUAUUUGAAGGUUAUUUAGGAUUGAGAUUUGGAAUGAGCAAAGUGUAAAUCUUGUUGCAUGGGAAUGCAGACAAUGGGAUCUCAAUGUGAUGGUAGCAGUGAUGGAAAGCAGACUCAGUUCCAGCCGCUGGCACGCCAAAAUUCCAUGUAUGGUCUAACUUUGGAUGAGGUUCAAGAUCAUUUAGGUGACCUUGGGAAACCUUUGAGCAGCAUGAACCUGGAUGAACUGCUCAAGAAUGUAUGGACAGUUGAGGCUAACCAAUCCAUGGGUAUUGAAGUUGAGGGCACGCAAUUGGCCAAUCAAACUGCUUUGCAGCGUCAGGCAAGCUUAUCAUUAACUAGUGCUCUGAGCAAGAAGACUGUUGAUGAGGUCUGGAGAGACAUUCAACAAAGUAAAAACAAUGGGGAAAAGAAGUCGAGGGAACGACAGCCUACUUUGGGAGAGAUGACUUUAGAGGAUUUCUUGGUAAAAGCCGGAGUUGUUGCUGAAGCAUCCUUGGAGAAAAAGGAUGGUGAUCCUGUUCUUGGGGUGGAUACAAAUAUAGGACCACAGUUCCCACAACAACAAGGUCAAUGGAUGCAAUACCCGCAUCCGCAGUAUCAGCAUCCUCAACAAAAUAUGAUGGGAGUUUAUAUGCCAGCUCAGCCAAUGCCUCAGCCACUUCAUGUGGGGGCAGGUGCUGUAAUGGAUGUUUCGUACCCUGAGAAUCAAGUGCCCUUACCUUUACCUUCACCUUUGAUGGGAACAUUAUCGGAUGUACAGACACUUACAAGGAAAAGAGGCACGCCAGAGGAUAUGAUGGAGAAGACUGUGGAGAGGAGGCAGAAGAGGAUGAUUAAGAACCGGGAAUCAGCUGCCCGUUCACGGGCAAGAAAGCAGGCUUACACAAAUGAGCUUGAGAACAAAGUUUCUCGCCUGCAAGAAGAAAAUGAAAGGCUGAGGAAACGGAAGGAGCUGGAAAAGAUGUUGCCUUGUGUCCCCAUUCCUGAACCAAAAUAUCAGCUUCGCAGAACAACUUCAGCCCCAUUCUAACAUGGCAUCUAUUUCCUGUCCUCUGUGGAAAAUUUGUAGAUGUAAUGUGUUUCUGGCUUGUGCUGGCAGCUGUUUAUGGCUUGUGCUUCUCAUGUGAGAAAUUUCUUGUAUCUACUCUAAAAAAAAAAACAAAAAAUUGUUUUAGAGUUUUUCUGGUACACUUGUGUAGCUCUCAGUGUCUUUUUUUCCUUUUUAUAAAAAUAUCAUUGCGAGUUGCGACAUUUUAUUGUGCCAUCUCUAUCUCUAUCUCCACAAACAACAUGGAGUACUCGACCUGCAUUGCUCAUUCAUUAACAUUCAUUGGGGUUAAUGCGCAAGAAAUUUCUCCAGUAUUGACACAAGCUG